UACGGGGGGGGCAAGCGUUGUUCGGAAUUACUGGGCGUAAAGGGCUCGUAGGCGGCCAACUAAGUCGGACGUGAAAUCCCUCGGCUCAACCGAGGAACUGCGUCCGAUACUGGAUGGCUUGAGUUCGGGAGAGGGAUGCGGAAUUCCAGGUGUAGCGGUGAAAUGCGUAGAUAUCAGGAAGAACACCAAUGGCGAAGGCAGCUCUCUGGGACGGUACUGACGCUGAGACGCGAAAGCGUGGGGAGCGAACAGG
rnacentral:rRNA from 1 species